UGGGGAAUAUUGGGCAAUGGGCGCAAGCCUGACCCAGCAACGCCGCGUGAAGGAAGAAGGCUUUCGGGUUGUAAACUUCUUUUCUGAGGGACGAUAGUGACGGUACCUCAGGAAUAAGCCACGGCUAACUACGUGCCAGCAGCCGCGGUAAUACGUAGGUGGCAAGCGUUAUCCGGAUUUACUGGGUGUAAAGGGCGUGUAGGCGGGAUGGUAAGUCAGAUGUGAAAACUAUGGGCUCAACCCAUAGCCUGCAUUUGAAACUAUCGUUCUUGAGUGUUGGAGGGGCAGGCGGAAUUCCGUGUGUAGCGGUGAAAUGCGUAGAUAUACGGAGGAACACCAGUGGCGAAGGCGGCCUGCUGGACAAUAACUGACGCUGAGGCGCGAAAGCGUGGGGAGCAAACAGGAUUAGAUACC
rnacentral:rRNA from 1 species